rnacentral:rRNA from 1 species
CGGACGGGUGAGGAAUACAUCGGAAUCUACUCUGUCGUGGGGGAGUAACGUAGGGAAACUUACGCUAAUACCGCAUACGACCUACGGGUGAAAGCAGGGGAUCUUCGGACCUUGCGCGAUUGAAUGAGCCGAUGUCGGAUUAGCUAGUUGGCGGGGUAAAGGCCCACCAAGGCGACGAUCCGUAGCUGGUCUGAGAGGAUGAUCAGUCACACUGGAACUGAGACACGGUCCAGACUCCUACGGGAGGCAGCAGAC